rnacentral:rRNA from 1 species
GAUGAACGCUGGCGGCGUGCCUAACACAUGCAAGUCGAGCGAUUCUCUUCGGAGAAGAGCGGCGGACGGGUGAGUAACGCGUGGGUAACCUGCCCUGUACACACGGAUAACAUACCGAAAGGUAUGCUAAUACGGGAUAAUAUAAGAAAUUCGCAUGUUUUUCUAUCAAAGCUCCGGCGGUACAGGAUGGACCCGCGUCUGAUUAGCUAGUUGGUGAGGUAACGGCUCACCAAGGCAACGAUCAGUAGCCGACCUGAGAGGGUGAUCGGCCACCAUUGGAACUGAGACACGGUCCAAACUCCUACGGGAGGCAGCAGUGGGGAAUAUUGCACAAUGGGCGAAAGCCUGAUGCAGCAACGCCGCGUGAGCGAUGAAGGCCUUCGGGUCGUAAAGCUCUGUCCUCAAGGAAGAUAAUGACGGUACUUGAGGAGGAAGACCCCGGCUAACUAACGUGCCAGCAGCCGCGGUAAAAGUCAACGUCG